CAAAAAGUAGUUUAAUUAAAAAUUUUAAUUUUGGAGAUUAAAGAUGAAAAUAAAUUUUUCUUUUUGA
rnacentral:tRNA from 1 species